UACGGAGGGUGCAAGCGUUAUCCGGAUUUACUGGGUUUAAAGGGUGCGUAGGCGGGCUUUUAAGUCAGUGGUGAAAACUUCGAGCUUAACUCGAAAACUGCCAUUGAUACUAUUAGUCUUGAAUUUAGUUGAGGUUGGCGGAAUGUGUCGUGUAGCGGUGAAAUGCUUAGAUAUGACACAGAACACCGAUUGCGAAGGCAGCUGGCUAAACUAAAAAUUGACGCUGAGGCACGAAAGUGUGGGGAUCAAACAGG
rnacentral:rRNA from 1 species